GUGCUCACUUAGGCAGCACACAUACUAAAAUGGAACAAUACACACAAGAUUAGCAUGGCCCUUGCACAAGGAUGAUACACAAAUUUGUGAAGCGUUCCAUAUUUUU
rnacentral:snRNA from 1 species